rnacentral:tRNA from 1 species
CCGACCUUAGCUCAGUUGGUAGAGCGGAGGAUUGUAGUUGUUGCUGAAAUCCUUAGGUCGCUGGUUCAAAUCCGACAGGUCGGA